GGGGUUUCCUCGGUACUGAAGUUAACACAUUAAGUACUCCGCCUGAGUAGUACGUACGCAAGUAUGAAACUUAAAGGAAUUGACGGGAUCCCGCACAAGCGGUGGAUCAUGUUGUUUAAUUCGAAGAUACACGAAAAACCUUACCAGGUCUUGACAUUAUCCUGCGAAGCUAUAGAAAUAUAGGGGAGGUUAUCAGGAUAACAGGUGGUGCAUGGUUGUCGUCAGCUCGUGUCGUGAGAUGUUAGGUUAAGUCCUAAAACGAGCGCAACCCUUGUCGUUAGUUACCAGCACGUUAUGGUGGGGACUUUAGCGAGACUGCCAAUGAAAAAAUUGGAGGAAGGUGAGGAUUACGUCAAAUCAUCAUGCCCCUUAUGAUCUGGGCUACAAACGUGAUACAAUGGCUAUUACAAAGAGCAGCUGAAACGUGAGUUGUUAGCUAAUCUCAAAAAAAUAGUCUCAGUUCGGAUUGAAGUCUGCAACUCGACUUCAUGAAGUUGGAAUCGCUAGUAAUCGCGAAUCAGCAUGUCGCGGUGAAUACGUUCUCGGGGUUUGUACACACCGCCCGUCAAACCAUGAAAGUUGACAAUACCCAAAACCAGUCGCUUAACUACUUCGGUAGAGGGAGCUGUCUAAGGUAGGGUCGAUGAUUGGGGUUAAGUCGUAACAAGGUAUCCCUACCGGAAGGUGGGGAUGGAUCACCUCCUUUCUAAGGAAAUGUCGUAUCAUGAUCAUCUUCAGUUUUGAAAGACUUAGAGUAGAUAAGUUUUUCUUUUGGCGUAGAGGAAGGGCCUAUAGCUCAGUUGGUAGAGCACACGCUUGAUAAGCGUGCGGUCAAUGGUUCAAGUCCAUUUAGGCCCACCAUACCACAUUCUUCCUUAUUCAA
rnacentral:rRNA from 1 species